rnacentral:lncRNA from 1 species
AUUCUUGUUUGGGUGUUACAUAUGAUUGAGAUGUCGGGUUACUAUUUUCUGGAUUCUGCUUCAGCAAGAUAUCACCUGGUUCUUUCUCACGCAUUGGGCAGAGAGAGUUUUCUAUUUGACUAGAUUGUAACAAUUGAAUGCCAGUAGGUUGGUUUUGUCUCUGCUGCACGUCGCUAGACAUUUUCUCUCAAAUUGGGGAUGGGGGUGCACCCUUCUCUUGAUAAGACUGCUGUAUCUGACUUCAACUUAGUGUUCAGUCUCUUCUGCAGUUUGUCUGACACUCAUGAAGCACUCCAGAUAUAUAGCAAUCUUUCAAAUUGAACUCUACUUCAUGAAAUCCAUUGUCAGGAUCCUGUUUCUACUGCAAUUUUGGAAUAAACACCAUCGAACAAUGUCUUCCUUGUGUACCGAGAGAGACAGUAAAAAGGAAAAAAAUACUGUCAAUACAUCCGUAAAAAAUGAUCUCCAUGCUUCAAAAUGAUAGUCAAAAGGAAAACAAUGAAGCCAAAACGCAUGUCAACAUGAAUUAAUCCACAAUAUUACUGGUCAUUGAAUCUACUUAAUCCUAAGAGAAACAGGAGGUGAGGAUUGAUCUCCAAAGCUAACAAACUACUGGACAUUGCAAUAAUUCUAUUUUUUUAUGACCGUGAUUGUUCGGACCGGCUUACGCACACCUCGACCAAUCCCCUGAGGCCCUAAAGUUUACACUCAGGUACUCACCUCAGUAGCUCUGAGGGGACUUGAAAUAUUGCAAUAAUUCUAAUGAUAGGAGAUAUUCAAUAGUCAGGUAAUUACGUGAAAACAAGCAAAAAAUUAUUGAAUUUUUUUUCAUGGAAAAUGGGGAAAAUUGUCUAUCAUUAAACCAACAUCGGAAAAGUAGGGAUGGCAAUGGGGCCAGGCUGGGUGACCUAGUCCGAACUGGAUCAGUAUUUCCUGCUUAACCAGGUCAGCGGGGCAAGACAGGGCAAGAAAAUUUUCCCUGGGCCGGGGAGAAGGAUCAUGGUCCCCACCCCGUUUAACUUUUAUUUUAUAAAAAAAUUACCCAACACAGAAACAAAGAGGAUUAAAUCAGUAAGUCACCAAGGAACGUAUUGAGGAAACCAAUUUUCAAAUUUGUCAAAACCUAAGCAGACUCUCACAUUGCACCUAAUCUGUAAUCUCACUCUCAGAAUCUCGCAAACACAAUCAGCUCAGACGACCACCACUCUCCUCUCUUUUCCAGCCCAUCUCUCUCAUAUUUAUUUAUAAAAUGUUUUUAGAUCAACAAGCUCCCCAUAAGAACUAGCUCUUUCUUUUUCUGUCUGAAAUUCAGCACUAUUUGUCUUGCAAAAAGUGUGGUCCGUCCAGUGUGUUUAUAAGGGAUUGUUUCAAUUGUUUUGUGAGCUUAAUCAAGUUUAUGUUUAAUGCCCAGUUGCUAUUUUCAGUUUUCUUGCGUACCUAGUUGUUCCCAGAUUGUGCUUUAUUCAUACUUAGAGUAAUUCUUGAUAGUAAGUUUCUUUCAGGUACAAAGAUAUAACUUCUUGCAGUUAGUGUAUGUGUUAUGAAUUAAAAUCAUAUUUAAAACAAAAUAAAAUAUAAACACGGUGCCAAAUGGGGAAUGGAGGACCUCAACCCAGUCCAGCCCAGCCCUGUCCCUACCUAAGCAGGGAUGGGGAAGAGAAAUCCCCUGGCAGGCUAGGGGACGUGGAGGGCAUCCCUGGCCCUGCUCUUCCUCAUUACCAUUCCUGUCGGAAGUACAAAAAUCAAAAGAAGCACUAUAAACGCCUUGGCAGAAUAUUCACAUUUUAAGUAGAUAUAGACAAUAUAUGAAUGCAUAGCCUGUCUAAGGCUAGAAAGGAGAGAGGGGGGUGGGGGGGUGAAAUGAAAUAGUAAGGGAAGAGAAAACGUCACCGCAACAGAAGUACUGAUAAAGCGUAUAACUAGCUGGUUAUAUUUUAUAUAACAAGGAGGAAACUGAAGUAACAAAGGGUUAACAAUUAUGCUCUAGAGAGAUGAACUGCAAAUUAAUUAAGAGACCAAGAAGUGACAGCAUUUUAAUUCAAUGUAAUCCAAUAAUGUCAGAAACUAAACCCAAUUACUACUCUGCAAAAAAUUUAGAUCAUAUUCUAUACUAUUAUGUAUAUGGAAGGCAUAAAAACUUAAAAGUUAUCAACAUUCAUAGAGGUUGUACAAGCCAUAGUGCAUAAAAAUUGGAUUUUUCUCAGUGAUGUCUUCUAGAAUGAGAUCAAGUGAAUAAGAGAGAAGUAGAACAAUUACGAAGGCAGAGCUUCUAGUGUGACCAUCAAUGUAAAUAAACACUAACGGGAAAAGGUGGUAAGCUAAUUUCCAUUUUCAAUAGAAAUCAUUUGAUUCUUGUUUGGGUGUUACAUAUGAUUGAGAUGUCGGGUUACUAUUUUCUGGAUUCUGCUUCAGCAAGAUAUCACCUGGUUCUUUCUCACGCAUUGGGCAGAGAGAGUUUUCUAUUUGACUAGAUUGUAACAAUUGAAUGCCAGUAGGUUGGUUUUGUCUCUGCUGCACGUCGCUAGACAUUUCAUAAACCCUAGCCAUAGCUGGUUCACCUUUCAAUUCCAAACAGCAGGAGAAAUAACCAGAAAAUCAUAAACCCAACUGAAAACAGAAAAACCCUGAACAGAGAAAUCAAUUACCUUACCUUUUUCCAAUUCUGGACAAUUUUAGAAUAAUCAGAGGUUGUAACAAUUGAAUGCCAGUAGGUUGGUUUUGUCUCUGCUGCACGUCGCUAGACAUUUUCUCUCAAAUUGGGGAUGGGGGUGCACCCUUCUCUUGAUAAGACUGCUGUAUCUGACUUCAACUUAGUGUUCAGUCUCUUCUGCAGUUUGUCUGGCACUCAUGAAGCACUCCAGAUAUAUAGCAAUCUUUGAACUCUACUUCAUGAAAUCCAUUGUCAGGAUCCUGUUUCUACUGCAAUUUUGGAAUAAACACCAUCGAACAAUGUCUUCCUUGUGUACCGAGAGAGACAGUAAAAAGGAAAAAAAUACUGUCAAUACAUCCGUAAAAAAUGAUCUCCAUGCUUCAAAAUGAUAGUCAAAAGGAAAACAAUGAAGCCAAAACGCAUGUCAACAUGAAUUAAUCCACAAUAUUACUGGUCAUUGAAUCUACUUAAUCCUAAGAGAAACAGGAGGUGAGGAUUGAUCUCCAAAGCUAACAAACUACUGGACAUUGCAAUAAUUCUAUUUUUUUAUGACCGUGAUUGUUCGGACCGGCUUACGCACACCUCGACCAAUCCC